rnacentral:rRNA from 1 species
AUUGAACGCUGGCGGAAUGCUUUACACAUGCAAGUCGAACGGCAGCACGAGAGCUUGCUCUUGGUGGCGAGUGGCGAACGGGUGAGUAAUAUAUCGGAACGUAUCCAAUAAUGGGGGAUAACUAAUCGAAAGGUUAGCUAAUACCGCAUACGCCCUACGGGGGAAAGCAGGGGAUCUUCGGACCUUGCGUUAAUGGAGCGGCUGAUAUCUGAUUAGCUAGUAGGUGAGGUAAAGGCUCACCUAGGCUUCGAUCAGUAGCUGGUCUGAGAGGACGACCAGCCACACUGGAACUGAGACACGGUCCAGACUCCUACGGGAGGCAG